GGGCCUGUAGCUCAGCUUGGUAGAGCGACGGUCUUAUACGCCGUAGGUCGCCGGUUCGAAUCCGGUCGGGCCCA
rnacentral:tRNA from 1 species